CUCUCUCUCUCUCUCUCUGCGUUUCAAAAAAUAUGUUUACAGUUUUGUUUUGUCAUUAACUCCCUCAAAUUCAUAGAUUUCUCACUUGAAUCAGUGGCAUUUGGCAAUAGUUUCUUGAUUAUUUUGGUUUCCAUGCAGGUGAAUGAUGUGAUAUAUGAAGUGGUAGAGGGUGAUGCAAGGAAUGUUCUCUGUGAUGCUGUAGAGAAACACCAUGCUUCAGUAUUGGUUGUGGGUAGUCACGGUUAUGGAGCUAUUAAAAGGGCGUG
rnacentral:misc_RNA from 1 species